rnacentral:rRNA from 1 species
GCGAGGUGAAGCAAAUCUCGAAAAGACGUCUCAGUUCGGAUCGCAGGCUGCAACUCGCCUGCGUGAAGUCGGAAUUGCUAGUAAUCGCAGAUCAGCAUGCUGCGGUGAAUACGUUCCCGGGCCUUGUACACACCGCCCGUCACACCAUGGGAGUCGGUAACACCCGAAGCCUAUAGUCUGACCUUUUGGAGGACGCAGUCGAAGGUGGGAUCGAUGACUGGGGUGAAGUCGUAACAAGGUAUC